UUUUUUCACUACUGCAGCUUC
rnacentral:piRNA from 1 species